UCACCUCAAUCAAUCAUCAAUAACAAUCUUCAACUUGUUCAAAUUCUACUUCUUUUACCCCACCUUCAAGAAAAUCCAGUGCAUUGAGUUCUUCCAAAAGUUUGGCUUGAAGAGAAAUUCCUCACAUCUACACUAGGUUCCUAUUCAUAAUGGGACUCUCACCAUAUACGACUCCAGCAGAUGCAGGAGUGUUCUGUGUGAUUCUGGUUAAUACAGCCAUAUCCAUCUCUAUUGUCAAGGGAAUGGUUCGAUCUAUCCUUCAUGUGAUUGGCAUCAACUUUGCAUCAUGGGAAGAAUAUUCUAUUGAAGGCCCUUUGGACCCAUUUGAGUGUCGUGGGAGCCCCUCGGUAUCAUACAUGGAGGAGUUCCGAAGCAGAACCCCUGCUGUUCGUUACGAUUCAUUGUGUUCUAAUCACCCUACACAAGAAUGCGCGGUAUGUCUGGCAGAGUUCAAACAUGACGAGGAGAUAAACUGCCUCUCAUGUGGCCACGUUUUUCAUAAGCUGUGUCUCGAGAAAUGGCUAAAGAAUUGGAAUGUCACCUGUCCUCUCUGCAGGAAUUACAUUAUGCCUAAAGAAGGUGAGGAAGAUACUUGUCCAAUGUGAAUUUUGUAGUUUGUCAGGCCUGUUUGAUAUGUUCUGAUGUACAGCUUAGUUGGGUAAAAAUUUAUUGAUGACUGCCUGAUCUUUGACACUGCAUAAUUCUGUAACCUUUUAUACUGUAAUACUUUGCGUCCUAUCACAGUGACGGGUCUCUUUG
rnacentral:misc_RNA from 1 species